UGGGGAAUAUUGGACAAUGGGCGAAAGCCUGAUCCAGCAAUGCCGCGUGGGUGAAGAAGGUCUUCGGAUUGUAAAGCCCUUUUGACGGGGACGAUGAUGACGGUACCCGUAGAAGAAGCCCCGGCUAACUUCGUGCCAGCAGCCGCGGUAAUACGAAGGGGGCUAGCGUUGCUCGGAAUUACUGGGCGUAAAGGGCGCGUAGGCGGCACUGUUAGUCAGGCGUGAAAGUCCUGGGGCUCAACCUGGGAACUGCGCUUGAUACGGCAGAGCUAGAGGAUGGAAGAGGCUCGCGGAAUUCCCAGUGUAGAGGUGAAAUUCGUAGAUAUUGGGAAGAACACCGGUGGCGAAGGCGGCGAGCUGGUCCAUUACUGACGCUGAGGCGCGACAGCGUGGGGAGCAAACAGGAUUAGAUACCCUGGUAGUCCACGCCGUAAACGAUGUGCGCUGGAUGUUGGGUGGCCUAGCCACUCAGUGUCGUAGCUAACGCGGUAAGCGCACCGCCUGGGGAGUAC
rnacentral:rRNA from 1 species